GGGGUGUGGCCAAGCGGUAAGGCAGCGGUUUUUGGUACCGUGCAUCGGAGGUUCGAAUCCUUCCACCCCAGA
rnacentral:tRNA from 1 species